AGAAAUAAAUGAAAGUAAUACGAGUGCGGGAAAUAAAUGGAAGUAAAGAUAGUGCGAGAAAUAAAUAAAAGUAGUGCGAGUGCGGGAAAUAAAUGAAAGUAAAGACAGUGCGGGAAAGUAAAGUAGACAAAGGUAAAGUAAUAAAAACCUGCUCCAAUGUACUAAAGAUACACUAUACUGGUGACUCGUCAGACACAUGCAUUUUCUAAGACACUCUAACUAAAGGCAAAAUAAAACAAAGUAAAC
rnacentral:lncRNA from 1 species